CCUGGCUAACAACAUGGCGGCCGUCAGUCCGUCAGACCCGGGGAAUGCGCUUCCCAGGGACGUGGUGAUCAAGACGGAGCCGGAGCUGGAGGCGGAGACGGAGGGCGGGCUGGUGCUCGGGUCGGAGGGGGCGCCGGUGAGGCGGGACCCCGUGGUGCCGCUCCUGUCCCCGGUCAGCGGGCUGCAGCCGCUCGCCUGGUCGCAGGAUCACCGCCUGGCCGUGUGCACCACCAGCUCCCUGGCGCUGAUGGAGCUGGUGUGCGACGUUCAGAGCGGGAAACAGGAGCUGAUGCUGCACCGGACCUCCAUCCCCGUCCCCGGCGAGGCCACCAGACUGCGGGUGGGAACAGUGGAAGAGCAUAAACAAAUGGUGGAGAACUUCAGCAGGCAUCCGGUCCCCACCGUGAGGCAAGUUUUUCUGGCCGACAGAGUGAUGAACCCGUCAGUGGUUGCGCACAAGGGAAUAAAGUAUUCCAGUUGGUCUCCGUUAGGUUGUGACUCCGAUGGACGGUGUUUGCUCGCAUGCCUAACGCUGGACCACAGACUUACUAUUCAUAACAGCCACAAGCGACUCGAGUGGAGCAUGCUCGUCAAUCUCACAAAGAAGUACAGUGAGAGGUUAAAGGAGCGAGGCUACGCCAGAAAAGACAACGAGCCGCCGCAGGAAAACCUGCAGGACUUUGAGGAGGUGCAGCGGCGCUUCCGCAUGCAAACGCCCCUGAGGAUGGAGUGGUCAAGCAUUUACACGACCAAACAGGUUCAGCCGGACAACACGGGCACGGACCUGGAGAUGGUCCUCCUGGCUGUCUUGAUGGAGAACGGCGACCUUGUUUUGUGGAAGUUUGAUUUGCCGUUUUCAAACGGGGACGAUGUCGUGUUUUAUGACAUCAUUGAAUCUGGUGUGAUUCGACCCAGUAACUUGGCGUGGUGGGAGUAUGAAAACGCGGAUCGCCGGAUGAGCGGCCUGAUCAUCGGCAGUGAGGUGGGACCAGUUAAGAUCAUGCCGGUCAGCCUGACGGGAGUGAAGGGCUACUUCACCCUGAAGCACCCUGUCAUCCUCUGGAAGGACUGCGACGAGAUAGCUGUGGAAAACAUCAAAUGCGUCCAGAUGAUCCAUCCGAUCCAUAAAUGCAGCUGCAGCCUCAUCGUCGCCUCUCGAGGAUGUUACGUCUUCUGGUGUCUGCUCAUGAUUUCACCGGCCGGACUUAACGUGCACAACUCUCACGUGGUGGGGCUUCACUCGCUCCCCGUGGUCUCCCUAGCCGUCAGUCAACAUGGCGUUGCAGUGUAUUCAUGCUCCAUAGACGGGUGUAUAAAGAAGCUGACACCUACAUUUACUGAGAAUACUUUGAUUUUCAAACAAGACGACAUGAUGCGACUUGACAACCUGACAGGGCGGCGGAUACAUGGGAUUGCGGUAAGCCACAAUGGAGCGUAUAUUGCGAUGGUCAGCACACAAGGUAUGGUGAACAGCCACAAUCCGAUCACCAGGACCUACCAGGUGCACUUUUUGAGCCUGAAAACGCCAGAAACUGCAGCAGCUCUUCUGCUUAAGUCUCCCGUACAGAACUUGUACAAACUGGCCGACCUGCUGGACAUUGUGAGGUGGCAAAUUCUGAAAAACAAGUGCAUCCCUUCAGCACUGCAGGAAGAGCUUGACCAAAAGAUGCAAGAUGUAGACUCGCCCUACUUGUGGCGUUUCAAGCUGUUUUUGGUUCGUAUACUUUACAAGUCUCUGCAGUCACCUCCGACAGAUCAUCUCUGGAAACCCAGCCAAGAGGGAAGCAAGGUGUUUGUUAGGGACGCAGAGGCAGACGAGGAGGACGGAGAGGACGAAGAAGACUGUGUGCUAGAGGAAGGCGAGUCUGUCGGAGGGAAGCCGGAGAAGGAGGACAAUCGCGAGGAGCAGUUGGCGGAGGUGCAGGCUUGGGUUAACUCCGUAGAGAGUCACCUGAUGAGAGAGAACAUGAAGAAGGUGCUGGGGGUGGUGUACCUGAACACCUGGAUCGCUCAGAACACCAGUAUACCCACCUGUGGCCUGGUGGAGUACCUCGCCAAAGACACUAACGACAGAAAUUCAGAGAUCCUGAUUGGCCACAUGAAGAAAAAGAUUAACAAACAGACGUUCCCGGAGCACUGCAGCCUGUGUCAGGCCGUGCUUCCCUUCACCGACCACAAACAAGCGAUCUGUGAAAACGGUCACAUGUGGCUCAGCCUCAGGGGAAGCGCAGGUGCCACAUCGGUUCAGACGCCAGACAGUCGGGAUGUGAAUUGAAUCUUUGACGGUUUAUUUGUCUUCACAGAGCAGUAAUCAAGCCUCCCACCUCUUGAUAUUUACCCAUGCACCACUCUCAUCGUCUCAUAAAUAUUAUCUGUCAAAUAUUUCUCCUUCCUUCCUCGCCGACUGGGAUGCGGUGGCUCCGCUGGGCACUGGGAGAGAAAUCUGUGCCCCUUCAGUUGCACCUCGGCGCUGCCUCUGCUCUACUUUUGUGUUUGUGCGUGUGAGCCUGUGUGUGUGUGUCUGUCCCUGCCAGCCCGCUCUCUUAAUGCCGUUCUCUCGGUCUCCUGCAGGUGUGUGUUGUCAUACCAGGCCUGCCAGACGCUGACGUUCAGACGUUGCCUCCUGCUGGAUAGCAUCGCCAGACUGCCAAAGCCUGAGGAUCCGGAUUGGAUAAAGAAGAUUCUGCAGGCGCCCUGCACGCUCUGCGACUCGCCGAUGAU